GACAGAGGGUGCAAACGUUGUUCGGAUUUACUGGGCGUAAAGCGUGUGUAGGCGGCUUGGCAAGUUGGAUGUGAAAGCCCACGGCUCAACCGUGGAAGCGCAUCCAAAACUGCUUCGCUCGAGUCUCGGAGAGGAAGGUGGAAUGCUUGGUGUAGAGGUGAAAUUCGUAGAUAUCAAGCAGAACACCCGCGGCGAAGGCGGCCUUCUGGACGAUGACUGACGCUGAGACACGAAAGCGUGGGGAGCAAACAGG
rnacentral:rRNA from 1 species